GUCUAUGGCCAUACCUCCCUAAAUGUACCCAUCUCAUCUGAUCGCAGAAGCUAGGCAGGGUGGGGCCUGGCUAGUACUUGGAUGAGAGAGCUCCUGGCAUUUGCAGGGA
rnacentral:rRNA from 1 species